rnacentral:rRNA from 1 species
AUUGAACGCUAGCGGGAUGCUUUACACAUGCAAGUCGAACGGCAGCGCGGACUUCGGUCCGGCGGCGAGAGGCGAACGGGUGAGUAAUGUAUCGGAACGUGCCCAGUAGCGGGGGAUAACUACGCGAAAGCGUAGCUAAUACCGCAUACGCCCUACGGGGGAAAGCAGGGGAUCGUAAGACCUUGCACUAUUGGAGCGGCCGAUAUCGGAUUAGCUAGUUGGUGAGGUAACGGCUCACCAAGGCGACGAUCCGUAGCUGGUUUGAGAGGACGACCAGCCACACUGGGACUGAGACACGGCCCAGACUCCUACGGGAGGCAGCAGUGGGGAAUUUUGGACAAUGGGGGCAACCCUGAUCCAGCCAUCCCGCGUGUGCGAUGAAGGCCUUCGGGUUGUAAAGCACUUUUGGCAGGAAAGAAACGUCGCGGGCUAAUACCCCGUGGAACUGACGGUACCUGCAGAAUAAGCACCGGCUAACUACGUG